rnacentral:rRNA from 1 species
AAAAGAAAGGUGGUGGCCUCGCUGACCAUGCUCGUGACAUGGACCAUCUGGAACGAAAGAAAUGCUCGGGUCUUCCAGCAUAAGAGCACCCCACCGCCAAUUUUGCUCACUACUAUUGCUAACGAGGCAAAUCUUUGGGUCACUACCGGAGCAAAGAAACUAGGUCUAUUAUUUUGUGUGAGUAAUCUUUUAUGCUGUGUAAGAGUGACUAUAUUGUAA